UUCUAAAACAAACAUUUUUACGUUUAGGUUUCGUGUGCAUUGAAUCUGGACGUAAAUCCAAUACGGUCAGGAGUUUAUGGUUAAGAAAUUACCUGUUGGUUUAGCAUACGCAAGAGAUUAGCUUUGAUAUUUGGUGGGGUGCGCCAGGCCCUUGCAGUAAUGCAACGCAAUGGCGACGCGUGCGACACGUGAGAACCCCAGCAGCAAGCUGUUGUGCCUGUGGUGGGAACUCUCCCUUGAAAAAAAUAAAUUUAAUAUCGUGUGAGCCAAUGGCUCACAUAUCACAUAUUAAACUCAUAGGAACAGAUACUACAUUUGAUCUUAGCCAAAAGGCCGAGAAAGCUUCAUUGGAACAUACUAAAAUAAGAGUUGGCAACAUGUGCUUAGCGGUAAGCACAAAGCUUGAGACAGCUUCUGCAUAGUAAGCUCAUAAAGCUUCAGACAGCUUGAGUAGUCAAGAUACAAUUUUCCGCUACCUUGAUGCUCAUUCAUUGCAAAUAAUAGUUGGCAAACUAAUACAGGUUUUGAUAUUCGGAUUCCACAUAUAGUAGACCCAGAGCUGUUGAUAAAGAGAAUCGUUGAUGAAUGGGCGCCACAUUAUAGGAUCAUAGCAUAUAUGAGGUGAGAUUCUCUUGACUGAAAGGGAUGGAGAUACUCCCAUAGUGGAAGCUACUGCCAAAGCAUUGUCUUCCACUGAAAGCACAACCUCGCAGUCCUGGGACCAGCGGAUCUGGUGCAACUGUUGCUCCUGUAAACCAAGAACCUAGUGCUUUUGAUGAAUUUGACCCUCGCAGUUUCGCUCCAGCUACCGCUCCUCCCGCAAGUGAUGGAGAAAUGGAUCUACUUGGGUCCCUCUCGGAUGCUCUGGCUAUCCUCAACUUCUAUGACCACAACAUCUGAAGCUGGAAUUCCCUUUGAUUCUGCUCCGGGGUCCACAUUCGCAGCACUAUCAUCAGCAUCUAUUGUGCUGAGCCAGCCUACUGAAGACCCAUUCAGCGAGACUCCCUUCAAGGCUAUACCUUUCGCAGAAAAAAACUAACCACCGCAGGAUUUUUCUUCCACCGCCAACUUUCGACCCAAUGCAAUGGCUUGAAACCUUCCAACCAGCCCCACCACAGAUUCAACUAACCCCGUCUGGCUUUGUAUAAAGAGCUCCAGUUGCCUUCAUUCGGAGGUUUUAAUGCUCCAAGUGGACCACAUUUUCAGCCAGGUGUUUCUGGGAACAAUUUUCCUGCACGAUCCACGUAUGGUGCACCAGUAUCCUCACAGACUGGUUUUAAAGCUCCAGGUAGAUCAGCCCCCCAGCAAAACAAUAAUGCGAUGGGGAAUUAUCACCAGCAGACGGGACCUACAGCACCAGCAAUUUCACAGGUCACACUUUCCAUUCCAGCAGGACUACCUGCCAAACCUCAACAGAAGGACAGCAAAUUUGAGACUAAAUCAACAGUUUUGGCUGAUACACUUAGCCGAGGGCUUGUAAAUUUGAAAAUAUCUGGACCUAAAACCAAUCCUCUGGCGGAUAUUGGAGUUAAUUUCUAUCCAUCACACGGAGAAGAGAGAGAAAAAGUUGUCCACACAAAUGGAUGUAACGUCUAUAAUUCCUUUGUAAAAGCUAUGUGAUCUUGUUCUGGAAUGGGAUGUGCAGGUGCAAGCUCCCUUGCUGCUCAAACCUGGCUUCUUCCUUCUUUCUAAUCAACUUAAGACAUUACACAAUAUGCCGGUUGGGGUAAUACGAUAAAGGCGGGGAUAGAAAACUAGCCAGUUUGAGCAUAAAUGAUGUUUCCUUUUGCUGAAAUUGAUUCUGGUUGUGGCUGAAACCCCACGUAUUUUCAAAGAACCGUAAACAAUGACAAUGCAACUUCAAUGUAUUUGCUAUGGCUGUCAAGAGGCCGAGACAGACUAUGGAACCCAAGAUUUUCCUUUCAUUCAAAAAUUUUAGUUUAAAGUUUUGUAGGGCUUUACCCUUCCAGAAAUUCUCGACGGCCCCAGGAGACCCAAGGCUGAGGAGGGGGAGGGGGUUUGGAAAUAGUUUUCAACCAGCAAUUGACACGCCUCGGUUAUUACCUCAUUAGCUGCGUCAUUGCCCCAAGCACAAAGAUGAGUUUUAAGGCUUGCAUCAACUGCCUUUUAUAAUACCUUCAUUGGCAUCCCUAACUCAGACUUGGACGCUAUGGGUCUAAUAAUUGUUACUUUUUACACUUUCGGUUCUAAUGGUCGUGUAGCAGUGUGAAAUCUCUGAUCCCAAAAUUGUGUUUAUAUCGAAGUAUUUGUCUUUAUAAUAUGAUGUGGAAGAACACACUGCUUUAGUUAAGAGUUUCUUUUA